UUGUCCUCUCUCCUCAGAGCGUGCUUCCUGGUACUAAGCCUUUGUUUCUGAAAUAAGUUAGGACUGUGUUUUUUGCCUUUUACUUGAUGGUGAUGAAGACCAUCUGACAUGGCUUACACCUCUCACUUUGUUUAUAGUAUAAGCUGUAAAAUGAUGAAGAUCCAAUGUCUGGGGACUGUGUUUGUCUUGCAUGAAAGAAGAGUGAAAGUGAAUUUGCCUUCCCAUGAUUGUUUAUCAGGUAACAUUUUCUCCAAGGGUUUGUAAAGAUGAAAGUUUAUGGCUCCCCUGUCUUUUGUUCUAGGCCUGUUUUCUGGAUAGUGUGGAUAGCAUCGCAGUUCAUGGCAUGUUUAAAUCUCCUAGCAAAACAUACAUCCAGCUAAAAACAAGAGAUGAAAAUAUAAAGGUGGGAUCACCUUUUGAGUUGGUGGUUAGUGGCAACAAGCAAUUGAAGGAGGUAAGCUAUAUAGUGGUGUCCAGGGGACAGUUGGUGGCUGUAGGCAAGCAAAAUUCAACAACUUUCUCCUUAACACCAGAAAAUUCUUGGGCUCCAAAAGCCUGCAUCAUUGUGUAUUACAUUGAAGAUGAUGGGGAAAUUAUAAAUGAUGUUCUCAGAAUUCCUAUUCAGCUUGUUUUUAAAAAUAAAAUACAGCUGUUUUAGAGUAAAGCUAAUGCUGAACUGUCUGAGAAAGUCUCUCUGAGGAUCUCUGUGACACAGCCAGACUCAGUAGUUGGGAUUGUAG